UACGAAGGGGGCUAGCGUUGCUCGGAAUCACUGGGCGUAAAGGGUGCGUAGGCGGGUCUUAAGUCAGGGGUGAAAUCCUGGAGCUCAACUCCAGAACUGCCUUUGAUACUGAGGAUCUUGAGUUCGGGAGAGGUGAGUGGAACUGCGAGUGUAGAGGUGAAAUUCGUAGAUAUUCGCAAGAACACCAGUGGCGAAGGCGGCUCACUGGCCCGAUACUGACGCUGAGGUGCGAAAAGCGUGGGGAGCAAACAGG
rnacentral:rRNA from 1 species